AUUUUUUUUAUUUUAGUAUUCUAUGUUUUAAAGUGUAUUAAGUUAAUGUCGACUUGUGGUUUCAUUUUUAUCUUUUUGCCACUUUUUUCGUUAAUAUUUCGUUAAAUUAUAUAUAAAAAACUUCAGAUAUCCCAUCUAGGUUUAUCGAAUAUUAUUUUUAGUAUCUUUUAGUUUUAACUUUGUCACUAAUUUAACGAAAAAAAUUAGUGAAAGCAAUAAUAAAAAAAUAAAAAUGAAACCACAGGAUACUAAAGUGAGAAAGUGUGAAACCAUAGAAGUAGUAUUUGAAGUUUUCUCGUAAAAAAGAAUUCAAAUUUUACAC
rnacentral:lncRNA from 1 species